ACCCACAUCCUUUCAUCUUUCCCUCUCCUUCCUUCUUUCCUGAUGAAGCAACCGUUGGUUACGAGAGCUUGAAUUUUGUGUGUGUGUCUAUCAACAUACCAACGCUUUCGUUAGGUAAGUUACAUCAUCUUUGUAUACUUUUAAUUCUAAAUUCAGUGCAUUAGUAUUUGUAAAAUGACUCUUUCAUAUAGUGUUCAUUCAAAAAUGACGAUCAUUCCACUUGGGACCUGUGGAAUGGUACAUUAGCUUAUUUGUUUUAGUUGUAAAUAUUUGUCAUGUAUUGCUGUUUUUCUGACAUGUUCCACGUCCUGGAGGACCUUCUCACUAUGGAUCAAUUGGAAUGAAAGUAAAUAUAAUCUAAUUUAAAACCUACUUGAUGCUUCUUGCAAAAUAACACCUUGUCCACUUCUGUCUGCUUCACUUCCCUAUGACUUCUUCCAUCAGCUUGUGAUGGCAGAUUAGAUUAGAUUAGAUUAAUACUUGUUCCAUAGAUCAUGAAUACGACACUUUGUAAUGAUGUGGAACGUGUCGGUUAAUAAAAGAUGUCUGUACAAGAUAUUACAUUACACAAAAUAUUGCAUGACACUUUUUGCCCCCCUUAAUUUAUAUCUAAACAUUCAGCCAAUGAGUAGGAGUUGUCAUCUAGAAAUUCUUUUAACUUAUUUUUAAAUGUUAGUUGGCUAUCUGUCAGGCUUUUGAUGCUGUUUGGUAGGUGACCAAAGACUUUUGUGGCAGCAUAAUUUACCCCUUUCUGUGCCAAAGUCAGAUUUAACCCUGCAUAGUGAAGAUCAUCCUUUCUCCUGGUGUUAUAGCUAUGCACACUGUUAUUACUUUUGAACUGGGCUGGAUUAUUAACAACAAAUUUCAUAAGUGAAUAUAUACCGGUAUACAGUGAGGAUCCCUAGAUCCUUAAAUAGAUGUCUGCAGGAUGACCGUGGGUGGGCUCCAGCAAUUAUUCUGAUUACACGUUUUUGAGCAAUGAAUACUUUUCUACUCAACGAUGAAUUACCCCAGAAUAUGAUGCCAUACGAAAGCAGUGAAUGAAAGUAGGCAUAGUAAACUAAUUUACUGAUAUUCUUAUCACCAAAAUUUGCAAUAACCCUAAUGGCAUACGUAGCUGAACUCAGACGUUUCAGCAGACCAUCAAUGUGUUGCUUCCAGUUUAACCUCUCAUCAAUGGACACACCUAAAAAUUUUGAAAAUUUUACCUUAGCUACAGACUUAUGUUCAAAGUCUAUAUUUAUUACUGGAGUUGUACCAUUUACUGUACGGAACUGUAUAUACUGUGUUUUAUCAAAAUUUAAAGAGAGUCCGUUUGCUGAGAACCACUGAAUAAUUUUGUGAAAAACAUCAUUUACAAUUACAUCACUUAGUUCUUGGUUUUUGGAUGUUAUUACUAUACUUGUAUCAUCAGCAAAAAGAACUAACUUUGCAUAUUCAUCAAUGUGGUAUGGUAAGUCAUUAAUGUAUAUCAAGAACAGUAAAGGACCUAAGACCGAACCCUGUGGGACCCCGUACUUGAUAGCCCCCCAGUUUGAGGAACCAGCUGUUGUUUUAACAUUACAUGAACCACUUAUUUCAACUUUCUGCAUUCUUCAGAUGUCCACUUGAUUCGUAGUGGGUUACAAACACCAAAUAGCACAGAAGUGGUACAGCAUAACAAUAAACUUAUUACUACACUGCUUAAUGGUAUUCAUGUUUAUGCCACCUAAAUUUGAGUAAAUUAGAAAGAGCACAAUGCCUCCUCAUUUUUACUAUGUAGCUGCUGCUUAUCUGCAAUUAAUAGUUUAAUAUUUACUUCAUUAUAAUGGUAUUCUUCAAAAAAAAGUAUUAGCUACAUCUGUAAAUACUGAGUCCUGUUUUCAGUGUGUUAAUACUUGUCAUGCAGCUUCAUAACAAACACUGAUACUUCCCAAAUGGCUAACAAAGCUUUUGAAUCCGUGAAUGCCGAUAAUUUUUAGAAAGAGUAACUAAUGAUGAAUGUUUUUAAUUUUGUUUUUAACUGUGAGGGAUACCAAAUUUCUUACUUUUUGUUAGGUAGGGGUUUGAUGAAAAUCUUCCCACCACAGAACAUAACUCUGAUGUGAACUCUCGACAAGCAGGCGAAGUCAACGUGAAUAUUACUUUUGUCUCCUGUACUGUGUGAAUCUAAAAAUCACAGUGUAGCUGAAACUGACUCUCAUCAUCAGCAACAAUAACCUGUAAGGAGCAAAAUUUUUGGUCCCAUCAAGGAGAAUCUUCAUGGAUGUCGAAUGAGUCAAGGCAUGUUGAGCCAUCAUCUGAGCUGUGUCUAGUAAGGGGCCAAUUUAAGGCACAAGCUGUCACAUGGGUUGCCGAGGUGAGAGGGGCACCAGAGAUGCCACAACUGUAAGAUGUAUACAACUAGUAGCAGACACCUGGAAAGCCAAGCUGAGAGGAGCAUCAGUGACACCCAAGUGCAAGAUUUGUAUACAGAGUAUUUGUAUGAGUGUCACAAUUAGUCACAAAAACUGAAACAGGUGAAAGUUUACAAGGGAGAAUGGGGGAGCCAAAUGAUAAUCACUUGCAUGGAAAACUGUUUUUGAUCUGAACCUGAUAAUUUUCCACCUGAAGGUUCACAGCGUCCUCAAUUUUGCUCCUAGUUUGUAUCAACAUUAUUAUGGGUUUAACAGUGCACAUUCAGUUUCUGGGUAAACAUUUUGUCAAACUCACCAUAAUUCACUGCUCUGUGUUUGUAAAAACCCAGCUAGAUACAUGAAACACAGAUAAAACAGAAAGAGUCUGUGAUAACAGAGUGUACCGCAACCAUAAAAGGAACUGUGCAGGAGAAGGUUUCAACUAUUACAUAGGAUCCAAACCUUUAUUUACUUUUGGAUUGAAAUCUGGUUGUCCUGAUGUCAUUUACAUAAAACUGAAUUGCAGAACUGCUUCAGUUCAGUAUGCACUCAUUCUACUAUGUAAAUGAUGUACAGAGUAACACAUAUCAAAAAAUUCAUUUAUUUAUAUUUGUAUU